GCAGUAUUAUCUGUAUCUAGUAUAGGUUUAAGAGCUUGAUAAUUAAUACUUGAGAUUCUAAGUUCAAAGUAUUGGCAAUGACAUUUGCAGUAUUAUUUGUGUUGGAAAAAUAAUCCAAACUUAAUUAAAAUAUAGUUAGAGAUAUGUUUAAGUCUUUUAUUUGAUUAUGAUUAGGAUUUGUAAUUAUUCAAAGUAAAAGUUGAAUUUAUCAUCUGUUAUGACUUGAUAGCUAUAUAUAGUUAGACAUGGAUUAAUUAGAGAAAAAAAAUCACAAUAGACAUGACUGCAUAGGUAUUGCCCAGGAUGUAAUUAAUUAUCUUUUAAAAUAUUAAUUUAGUUUUCUUCUUCGUCCUUCAAUAUCUCUUUUCCAUAUUAUUUUGUUCGAUUUUAGAUCUUGGGUUAUAUAAUUGGUAUCAGUACAAAUAUCGAUUUUUGAUAAUGUAUCAGAGAAAAUCAUGCACGCUUCUAAUAAUUGGUAUUAGAGCAAAUCAUGCUUCAAACCAUUUAUAUCUAGUAUAAUUGGCUAAAGAUUUGAUAGUUAAUACUUGAGUUCUAA
rnacentral:lncRNA from 1 species